rnacentral:rRNA from 1 species
UGGGGAAUUUUGGACAAUGGGCGAAAGCCUGAUCCAGCAAUGCCGCGUGUGUGAAGAAGGCCUUCGGGUUGUAAAGCACUUUUGUCCGGAAAGAAAUCCUUGGCUCUAAUACAGUCUGGGGAUGACGGUACCGGAAGAAUAAGCACCGGCUAACUACGUGCCAGCAGCCGCGGUAAUACGUAGGGUGCAAGCGUUAAUCGGAAUUACUGGGCGUAAAGCGUGCGCAGGCGGUUUGCUAAGACCGAUGUGAAAUCCCCGGGCUCAACCUGGGAACUGCAUUGGUGACUGGCAGGCUAGAGUAUGGCAGAGGGGGGUAGAAUUCCACGUGUAGCAGUGAAAUGCGUAGAGAUGUGGAGGAAUACCGAUGGCGAAGGCAGCCCCCUGGGCCAAUACUGACGCUCAUGCACGAAAGCGUGGGGAGCAAACAGGAUUAGAUACCCUGGUAGUCCACGCCCUAAACGAUGUCAACUAGUUGUUGGGGAUUCAUUUCCUUAGUAACGUAGCUAACGCGUGAAGUUGACCGCCUGGGGAGUACGGUCGCAAGAUUAAAACUUAAAUGAAUUGACGGGGUCAUAGCUGUUUCCU